UACAGAGGUCCCGAGCGUUGUUCGGAUUCACUGGGCGUAAAGGGUGCGUAGGUGGUGAGGUAAGUCGGAUGUGAAAUCUCCGAGCUCAACUCGGAAAUGGCAUUGGAAACUACCUUGCUAGAGGGUUGGAGGGGGGACUGGAAUACUUGGUGUAGCAGUGAAAUGCGUAGAUAUCAAGUGGAACACCAGUGGCGAAGGCGGGUCCCUGGACAACACCUGACACUGAUGAGCGAAAGCCAGGGGAGCAAACGGG
rnacentral:rRNA from 1 species